GGUAUUGAUAGCCACACUUGCUGAGAGGCAAGGCCGGAAAGCUUCAGGUCUUUUGUAUAACUGCCAAAGAUGGCUGGGUUGCAUAU
rnacentral:ncRNA from 1 species